UUACUAGGAUAUUCAUUGCUACCUAUGGGGUCAGAGUCCAGGGUCAGUCCAUGUAUAGUCUUUAGGUAGUGGCUUAGUCCCUGGAAGCUCUGGUUGCUUGGCAUUGUUGUACUUUUGGGGUCUCGAGCCCCUUCAAGCUCUUCCAGUUCUUUCUCUGAUUCCUUCAAUAGGGGACCUAUUCUCAGUUCAGUGGUUUGCUGCUGGCAUUCGCCUCUAUAUUUGCUGUAUUCUGGCUGUGUCUCUCAGGAGCGAUCUACAUCCGGCUCCUGUCGGUCUGCACUUCUUUGCUUCAUCCAUCUUGUCUAAUUGGGUGGCUGUAUAUGUAUGGGCCACAUGUGGGGCAGGCUCUGAAUGGGUGUUCCUUCAGUCUCUGUUUUAAUCUUUGCCUCUCCCUUCCCUGCCAAGGGUAUUCUUUUUCCUCAUUUAAAGAAGGAGUGAAGCAUUCACAUUUUGAUCAUCCGUCUUGAGUUUCGUUUGUUCUAGGGAUCUAGGGUAAUUCAAGCAUUUGGGCUAAUAGCCACUUAUCAAUGAGUGCAUACCAUGUAUGUCUUUCUGUGAUUGGGUUAGCUUCCUUUUAUUACAUGCCUCUGUGUAUGUCUAUAUCCUUUUAUUUCUAAACAUAACCUGCUCAGUCUAUAUGUUACUCACACAUAUAGUUUCAAAGCUUAUGAUUUACUAUUGGAUAAUUAAUUGGUGUGCUCUUCUCUGAAAACUUCCUUCCACUCUCAACAUGCCUUAGUUUCCUAUAACUCUUUGUAUAUGAUUGAGACCUUGUGGGCCUUCCACAAUCAACAUCAGUGUAUCUACUGUUGUUCCUGUUCAGCUCAGGCAUAUGGAGUCAUAAAACUACUUUAUGGGUUUAGCGUCUGACAUCACUAGGAUACACAAUCUUACAGCAAAUUCCCUGAACCUUGAUCUUACAAACUCAUCACCGACCCUAGUUCAGCAAUGCUCUCUGACUGUGGGACUCUGGGAAACUGUAUAGCUAGCUGGUUAAAGGGGUUCCUAAGUGAAGAUCCUUGAAGGUUCCACAUGACCCCAUUUCCCAGUUGCUAUGAUUUGUGGUUCUUCACUGUGAGUAGAUAUUGCCACAAGCUCCUCCUGCUGAGCUUUUACUACCACUGUCACUGACAUGCCCUGAAACCAUGACUGAAAUGUAUCUUUCCUCAACUGAGGUGUACUGUUUGAUAGUAUGGUCACAGAAACAGAAAACAAAUUCAUACUAUGUCCAUCUGAGAGGAAAGGAGGAAAUCCUCGGAGAAAAGCAAAAGUGCUUCCCCUUUAUCUUGGACUUGUAGAUUCUGAAACAUGGAGGAAGAAAAUGCCUGCUGAUUUUGUCUAAUGGCCUGUGACACUGUGAUAGCAGUCCAAGAAAGUGAGUAUACUUAUUACAUAAAACUUUUAGCUCACACGGGCAGGUAAGUGAGGGCCCUAAACCCACAAAAUGUGACAAUAGAGGCUGAUAUUACCCUCUUUUCAAAUGAGAACAAUCUUUUGUCCCCCUUCAUCCCACCGAAGACAUUAGGAAUGCCUCUUUCAGUCCUAGUGACUUCAUCUUGCCUCUCUGGUUCCAGAGCACAGAAUAGCUCUUAAAAGAGGUAAUAUUAUUUGAUAAAAGAAGAUGUAAUUACUCCACAUGUAUUCAAAUAAAAUAGACCCAAUGUCACAAGGAUCUUUCCAUAAAUAAAAUUAAUAUUAACUUCAGGCAUUGGAUUUGAAAAGCAUUAUGGUUAUUUUAUUAUAAAAUACCAUGAGUAUAUCUGAGUUUUAGUGUCAUGUUCUCUUAGUAGAAAAUAACAUCUGAUCACUGCAGUAUAUAGAUUCACGUUAUAAUAGUCACUCAUGCCAUCCUCCAAACAGAAAUAGAUUGACUGGUAUUAUACAGGAUUUUAAAUAUACCAACGAAGUUUGUCAUCUUUAAGAUGUUUGGAUAAAAUGUCAUUUUGUCACUUGAUUCUGCCCUUAGUUGCCCUUGCUUUUCAGAGAUCUUUUAUAACCUAAAAUGCCACUGACUGUCAGAGUACAAUGAAUCAUGUAUCACUGCUGCCCACAUGCCUGCUUAGAAACUCAUCCAUUCAAUGGGCUCUCUCUAAUGUCUGAACAAAACACCUUCAGUAUAGAAACCUCUAUCCUUAGUCUGUUCCUCGCAUAUUAAAUUAUUUAUGAAUCACAGAGUUUCAGGUACACUUGUGAACAUCAAUAUUUUCUAAUGGCUGUAGAAUUUGUAAGUCAUGUUUUCAUAAACCUGUAUAAAUCACAGCGAUUCUAAAGAGUCAAAAUUGUACUUUCAUAAUUUAUCGCUUAAAAUAUUAGCUUAAUUGUGUGUGUGUCUGUGUGUGUGUGUGUGUGUGUGUGUGUGUGAGUGUGUGUGUGUACUGUGUGCCAUGAGUCAUGGAGUAAGUGGAGGGCAACUUACCUGAUUUUCUACUCGUGUAGGCAAAACAGUAUUAGUGUAGGUUAUUAUAGGACAAUGUCUGGAUAGGUUUUUAAAAUGUACUUUUUAGGAAAGAGAGACUAUUUCAGACAAUGUGCUUUCAAUAAGAUGUACUUUUUCUCAGCAAUUGGACACUGAGGGGUAGGUACAUUUGUAAGCUCAAAUGUGCUGGUUGAGUUCUGAACCUUCAGUGUUAGAAAGGUUUAGACAGGUUGUGUCCUUUACGUUGAUUGGAUCCUGAAAAUAUAGGCCUACUGAAUUGGAGAGACAUUCUUACAAAUGAGAUAAAAAGUUUCUCCUCAGACUGUCAUACAUAUAAAGAUACCCAAAAGGACAUGCAGGAAAUGCAGGUAUAGAAAUGGAGAAGAGUCUGAGGAAAAGAAUGUCCAGCAACAGGCCCAAAGUGGGAUCCAACUCAAGAGGAGGCCUCAAGACCUGACAUCAUUACUGAGGCAAUGGGGCAUCACAAAAGGGCACCUAUUAUGAUUGCCCUCUAAAAGACCCAACAAGCAGCUGAAAAAGGCAGAUGCAGAUAUGUGCCCCCAACCAAUGAACAGAAGCUGCUGACCCCUCUGGUUGAAUUAGGGAAAAGCUGGAGGAAACUAAGGAGGAGGGCAGCCCUGUAGGAGGACCAGCAGUCUCAAUUAACCUGGACCCCUGAGAUCUCUCAGACACUGGAUCACCAACCAGGCAGCGUACAUCAACUGCAAUGAGGACCCCACACAUAGAUAGUAGAGGACUCCCAGGUCUGGGUUCAGUCAGAGAAGAUGCAACUAACCCGCUAGAGACUGGAGGCCCCAGGAAGUUUAGAGGUCUGGUGGGGUGGGUAGGUUGGGGACAUCCUUGUGGAGACAUGGGGCACGGGGAUGUGGAACUUCCGGGGUGUUGGUGGUGGACCGGGAGGCAAAUAGAAUCUGGACUGUAAAAAUUUAAAAAAGAAAUGAUACAGGUGAAAGAUAGCUCUCUGGAGAGAAAGCCCUGGCCAUAUUCCUAAGGUGUUGAAUCUGCAAAUUUCAAAGCAGUCCUAUUUCCCUACUGUAUGUGAACUAACACGGCUAUUUAUAACGCUCUUCCCCUUGCGCGUGUUUCUUAAAGCUCAGCUAGACUCAAACAGCUUAUUGUGAGCAAGCUAAAUAUAUAAGUGUUGUUUUCUGCAUUUGUUGAAAUUAUAUUUAUUUUAUGUACCCCCUAAACAUCUUCCGAUAUACUGAGGUUUUAUUUAUCUCUUGCACCUAUUUUCUAAAGAAUGUAUCAAUUUAUCAGGAAAACCCACCAAUUACUAUGCCUGUCAGAUAUUCAGCAUUCUUCAAUACUUUAAAAUUCCUAAGAGCUCUCUGCUUUCACUCACCUGUGUGACACUGUGUUUCACUUCACUCUGGAUCAUCUUGCUCUAGAAGUAGAAGAGGGGAAGAAGAAGAGGAAGAGGAAGAGGAAGAGGAAGAAGAAGAAGAAGAAGAAGAAGAAGAAGAAGAAGAAGAACAAGAAGAACAAGAAGAAGAAGAAGAAGAAGAAGAAGAAGAAGAAGAAGAAGAAGAAGAACAAGAACAAGAACAAGAACAAGAACAAGAACAAGAACAAGAACAAGAACAAGAACAAGAACAAGAACAAGAAGAACAAGAAGAACAAGAAGAACAAGAACAAGAACAAGAACAAGAACAAGAAGAACAAGAACAAGAAGAGCAAGAUGUGGUCUUCUUUGGGGAUGAAAAUUGUGCCUUCUACAACAGGAGGAAAAUAUAGUAGCAGCCUCUAAAACUAUCAGUAAAAGUAUUGUAUUUUCAAAAUAUGGCAACAUGACUCUUGAAUUGAAUAACAUGUUUUAACAUUAAACAUGGAUUUAUGUUAUUUCUGACUAGUGGGUUGGUUAUUUUUAAACAAUCAUUGUUGCUAGGUAGUAUGGAAAGCAAAAGUGAAUUAAAUGUGCAUUCAAAAUGCUAAAUGUUGAUAAUACUUCCCUUUUUAAAAUCUUUCAGCAAGUAUUAUACUGAUGCAGUAUAUCUAAGACUCCUUAAUAUUUACCUUUUCAUAAGGCAAACAUCAACAUUUUAAAGAUACUUCAGUUUUUCUGUCAUAUAAUGUAGCUAUAAUUGUUCUGUAUUUUAUUCUUGUAUUAAUCAUUAAAAGGUAAUUAAUAUUGAUUUAUUAUUAGUUUAUUACUUAAAGUUUUUUCUGUGCCUAUUUAUUUUUUAUCUUUAUUAACUUGAGUAUUUAUUUACAUUUCGAUUGUUAUUCCCUUUCCCGGUUUCAGGGCCAAUACCACCCUAACCCCUCUCCCUCCCCUUCUCUAUGGGUGUUCCCAUCCCCAUCCUUCCCCCAUUACCGCCUUCCCCCCAACAAUCACUUUCACUGGGGGUUCAGUCUUAGCAGGACCAAGGGCUUCCCCUUCCACUGGUGCUCUUACUAGGCUAUUCAUUGCUACAUGGGUCAGUCCAUGUAUAGUCUUUGGGUAGUGGCUUAGUCCCAGGAAACUCUGGUUGGUUGGCAUUGUUGUUCAUAUGGGGUCUUGAGCCCCUUCAAGGUCUUUCUUUCCUUUCUCUGAUUCCUUAAAUGGGGGUCCCGUUCUCAGUUCAGUGGUUUGCUGCUGGCAUUCGCCUAUGUAUUUGCUGUAUUCUGGCUGUGUCUCUCAGGAGAGAUCUACAUCCGGUUCCUGUCUCCCUGCACUUCUUUGCUUCAUCCAUCUUAUCUAAUUGGGUGGCUGUAUAUGUAUGGGCCACAGGUGUGGUAGGCUCUGAAUGGGUGUUCCUUCUGCCUCUGUUUUAAACUUUGCCUCCCUAUUCCCUGCCAAGGGUAUUCUUGUUCCCCUUUUAAAUGAGUGAAGCAUUCACAUUUUGGUCAUCCCUCUUGAGUUUCAUGUGUUCUGUGCAUCUAGGGUAAUUCAAGCAUUUGGGCUAAUAGCCACUUAUCAAUGAGUGCAUAUCAUGUGUGUUUUUCUGUGAUCGGGUUACCUCACACAGGAUGAUAUUUUCCAGUUCCAUCCAUUUGCCUAUAAAUUUCAUAAAGUCAUUGUUUUUGAUAGCUGAGUAAUAUUCCAUUGUGUAGAUGUACCACAUUUUCAGUAUCCAUUCCUCUGUUGAAGGGCAUCUGGGCUCUUUCCAGAUUCUGGCUAUUAUAAAUAAGGCUGCUAUGAACAUAAUGGAGCAUGUGUCUUUUUUAUAUGAUGGAGCAUCUUUUCGAUAUAUGCCCAAGAGAGGUAUAGCAGGGUCCUCAGGUAGUUCAAUGUCCAAUUUUCUGAGGAACCUCUAGACUGAUUUCCAGAAUGGUUGUAUCAGUCUGCAAUCCCACCAACAAUGGAGGAGUGUUCCUCUUUCUACACAUCCCCGCCAGCAUUUGCUAUCACCUGAGUUUUUGAUCUUAGCCAUUCUCACUGGUGUGAGGUGAAAUCUCAUGGUUGUUUUGAUUUGCAUUUCCCUUAUGACUAAAGAUGUUGAACAUUUCUUUAGGUGUUUCUCAGCCAUUCGGCAUUCCUCAGCUGUGAAUUCCUUGUUUAGCUCUGAAUCCCAUUUUUAAUAGGGUUAUUUGUCUCCCUGCAGUCUAACUUCUUGAGUUCUUUGUAUAUUUUGGAUAUAAGCCCUCUAUCUGUUGUAAGAUUGGUAAAGAUCUUUUCCCAAUCUGUUGGUUGCCAUUUUGUCCUAACCAUAGUGUCCUUUGCCUUACAGUUUUAUGAGAUCCCAUUGGUUGAUUCUUGAUCUUAGAGCAUAAGCCAUUGGUGUUUUGUUCAGGAAAUUUUCUCCAGUGCCCAUGUGUUCGAGAUGCUUCCCCACUUUUUCCUCUAUUAGUUUGAUGUUUUUCUGGUUUGAUGUAGAGGUCCUUGAUUCACUUGGACUUAAGCUUUGUACAGGUGAUAAGCAUGGAUCGAUCUGCAUUCCUCUACAUGUUGACCUCCACUUGAACCAGCACCAUUUGCUGUAAAUACUAUCUUUUUCCUAUUGGACGGUUUUGGCUCCUUUGUCAAAAACCAAGUGACCAUAGGUGUGUGGGUUCAUUUCUGGGUCUUCAAUUCCAUUCCACUGGUCUAUCUGUCUGUAUCUGUACCAAUAAAUGCAGUUUUUAUCAAUAUUUCUCUGUAAUACUGUUUGAGUUCAGGGAUAGUGAUUCCCCCAGAAGUCCUUUUACUGUUGAGGAUAGUUUUAGCUAUCCUGAUUUUUUUGUUAUUCCAGAUGAAUUUGCAAAUUGUUCUGUCUAACUCUUUGAAGAAUUGGAUUGGUAUUUUGAUGGGGAUUGCAUUGAAUCUGUAGAUUGCUUUUGGUAAAAUGGCCAUUUUUACUAUAUUAAUCCUGCCAAUCCAUGAGCAUGGGAGAUUUUUAUUUUUGCCCCGAUUGCCCAAACACCCCUAGAUCCUUUCAACCUUCACACCAACCCAAAUUUACAUCAUUUCUCGUUGUCUGUAUCUUUCAUUAGAAAACAUACAGGCAUCUAAUAAUAACUAGACAAAAUACAAUAAUAAAAUAAAAACAAUUUAAACUGAGUAGGAUAAAACAAGCAAAGGAAAGAGAAAUGAAGGAGCCCAAGAAAAAUCAUAAGUACAUAUACAUGAGGACACACACACACACACACACACACACACACACACACACACACAUUCACAAACACAGAAA